AUUAAUGCACCUGUUAGAGCAGAACAGACGAUGACUAAGAUGAUGCUGGAGUGUAACAUGAAGCCAAGAAAACAGGAAUAGCAGAGACAGUGAGCAGCAGUGAUGCAACCAGGGCUGCUGGUGAGCUGCUGCUCUGCUUCCUCCUUAUCUCUGCAGCAACAUUCCAGCAUUAGUGCUUUCUUCUGUAUAGUUCAAGAAGUUGUUUCCAACCUCAAGGUUAUGAAGGUAUCCAGUAUCAUGGCCUUUGGACUUGAAUCACAACAUCAACUCUUCCCUGAGUCUCCAGCCUUCCUGCUCACCCUGCAGAUUUUGGACUUGCCC